rnacentral:Y_RNA from 1 species
GGCUGGUCCAAAAGUAGUGAGUUAUCUCAAUUGAUCACAGUCAGAGAUUGAACUCUGACUGUUCUACUCUUUCCCCUCCUUACUACUGCACUCGAUCAGUCUAAA